rnacentral:tRNA from 1 species
GGCGCGGCUGCUGUGGUGUUCGGUGCGCCCGUCUACGACGGGCGAUGGCCGCCCGAGGCCUCGGAGUUCGUGCGGCGCGAGGCCGCGGCGC